UAUGUGAUCGUCUCUCGCAUAUCAAUAAGCGGAGGAAAAGUCAGCUACCUACGCUUAGGAUGUUGACACACGCGCGUGCUCGACUCUAUACAUGACUCUGUGCAUAUCAAUAAGCGGAGGAAAAGAGCAUACCUACGCUUAUGUGAUCGUCUCUCGCAUAUCAAUAAGCGGAGGAAAAGAGGGCUAUUACCUACGCUUAGGAUGUUGACACACGCGCGUGCUCGACUCUAUACAUGACUCUGUGCAUAUCAAUAAGCGGAGGAAAAGAAACUAACAAGGAUUCCCCUAGUAACGGCGAGUGAAGCGGGAAGAGCUCAAAUUUGAAAUCUUAAAGGGUUUCCCUUUACGAAUUGUAGUUUAAAGAAGUGUUUUCUGUUGAGGUUUUGGUAAAAGUUCUUUGGAAUAGGACAUCAUAGAGGGUGAGAAUCCCGUAUUUGACCUUUACUUUCAACUUUGUGAUACACUUUCAAAGAGUCGGAUUGUUUGGGAAUGCAGUCCAAAAUGGGUGGUAAAUUUCAUCUAAAGCUAAAUAUUGGCGAGAGACCGAUAGCGAACAAGUACCGUGAGGGAAAGAUGAAAAGAACUUUGAAAAGAGAGUUAAACAGUACGUGAAAUUGUCAAAAGGGAAGCGUUUGACACCAGUGUUGUUUUUCUGAAAAUCAAUUAAAGAACUGUUUAUGCUAAGCUGUUUAGACUUUAUCAGCUAAUCUGUUUAGUUUUCAGCUUUUCUUUAAUGCACUUUUCAGUUAACAAGUCAACAUCAAUUUCUUUUGCUGUAAAAAAGCUUGAGGAAGGUGGCUUGAGAUUCGUCUUAAGUGUUUAUAGCCUCUUGCCUAUGCAGUCGGAGAGAUUGAGGUCUGCAGCGUAGAUCCUUCGGGGCUAAAUGCAUUUGUGCUAAGUUAUAGCAUUUUAUAGACAACUUGUUGACUAUGAUUUGUCUUGUAGCUUACUCGCUUAUGUUAUUUUACCUACGCUUAGGAUGUUGACUGAUAUGUAGUCGUA
rnacentral:rRNA from 1 species